GACGAACGCUGGCGGCGUGCUUAACACAUGCAAGUCGAACGGAAAGGCCCUGUUUUUGUGGGGUGGUGGGGUGGAGAGCGGGAGGGGAGCGUGUGAGGAACCUAACCUUGACCUUGGGAUUAGUUAAGGGAACUGGGGUGAAUACCGGACAGGAGAUCCUGGUGCAUGGGGGGGGUGGGUAAGUGUAGGCGGUUGGGGAUGGAGGCGCGGCUUAUGAGGUCGUUGGUGGGGUUGGGGCGUACCAGGGCUUCGACGGGUAGCCGGCCUGAGAGGGUGAGCGGCCCCGCUGGGACUGCGAUACGGCCCAGCCUCCUACGGGAGGGAGCAGUGGGGAAUAUUGCGCAGUGGGCGGGCGCCGGAGGCAGCAGCGCCGCGUGCGGGAUGACGGCCUUCGGGUUGUAAACCGCUUUCGCCUGUGACGAAGCGUGAGUGACGGUAAUGGGUAAAGAAGCACCGGCUAACUACGUG
rnacentral:rRNA from 1 species